UGCGGGAUGGAGCAGUGGUAGCUCGGCUGGCUCAUAACCAGCAGGUCGAGGGUUCGAAUCCCUCUCCCGCCA
rnacentral:tRNA from 1 species